ensembl:lncRNA
AUCUAAUUGACCUGAAUUUCAUGGCAGCAAGAAAGAAGCUAUGUUGAGGUCAUGCGAGGCCAUCACACACCUGCAUGCUCUCCACAGAUCCAGGGUUUUGUUGUGACAGACCGGAUCAUCGCGUUUUCUCUGUCGGUGGAACUUGCAUCGCUGUGUCAUCACCAUGGAUCAGGUUGCUCACAGGUUCGCAACGGAUCCGGAGACUAUACCAGGAACACCUGGCACGACGAAGGAAGAUACCCUACGACCUGGAUGGUACAUUCUAGUACUGGGGAGAGAUGAUUUGAAAAGGUACCGAUCCUACAGCUAGCCGAUAUCCUGUCAGGGUUAUCUUAUCUGUGGCUAAUUAAGCGGUAAGACAUCUAAGAUGUAAGUACACCACAGUACACGAAUCACGACAACGGACACCGAUACUAAACACACCGGAUUUCAAACUAGCUUUUUCUUAUUUUAUUACACAAUAAUUUGACGAUUAAAUUUGUGAGUGGUCAUUUAUAGUGAUCUGUGUUCACGAUACUUUGUGAAUAUAUUAGCCACCUUAUAAACACUCAUAAGCCUUAAAAUCCAGGGUAUUAUCGGUAAAAUGUUGGUGAAACCUUCAAAUUCAUGACCAUUCACAUGAUUCGAUUGAAAUGAAAAGCUGCUGUAAGAUGAUUAGAGGUGGGGUUAAGUGUUGUACCAUUUUAUGUGACCUAAUUUGUAUGAAAUCAAAUGAAAUCCGAGCAUGAAUUCUUUCCCGAGAUGAGGCUGUCGAGCAAUCUUGGGCUUCAGCUUUGCAGCUUUCAAACAUUAUUUUACUACUCUAAAUUGUAUAUAUGGUGCUAUACGAAUGAUGAACUGGCAUCUCAUGAUGUUAAUGGGUGUUUUCCUGCCUCGUGUACAGUGUUCUUAGGACAGGCUCCGAAUCCACCGUGAACCUGAUCAGGAUAAAGAUGAAUGGCCACGUCCUGGACUGGUCAUCAUUUGCCUGAUGAAGAAUUUAGUUCUUGGCAUGAAUGACCAUGAUUUCUAAUUUCAAGACCUUUCUCCCGUUUCUCACCAUGUGCGAAUUUCUCAAUCAGCUGCCUCAAAAGGGGUCAUUGUAUUUAAAAAAAAAAAAAAAAAAAAAAAACAAAACCCACAAUUUACAAGACUACAGAUUGAUUCAAAGACUACCGAUUUCCGACCACGCCGUUCACGGAAGGACAUCUGGCACCUGCGCUACAGCUCGGCAUCCCUGAGAGAAGCUACCUGAGAUCACAGAGAGUUUAUACAGUCCAGAUACCCAUGUCUUAUCACACACCCAUGCUGGUCCGAUAGCACAAAAUCAACACAGAGUCAUGAAUGAAAUCUCCGGAGGGCUAGACCUCACAAGAAUUCGCUCCAUUUCCUCAAACGCGUAGGAGAGUCGAGAACAUGGGGGAGAUUCUAUCAGGACUCGAUCCCUUUCACACUAGCUACUCUGUUCGUCUUGUGGAACACUACGGCUUGUCUUCAUGCGUUCAUGACUGUGUGACCUUUUUCUCUGCAGUUGGUGUAAAUAAUAUUGUCUAGCUGUCAGGGACUGUAAAUUCUAUGAAAAAGUGGUGCUCAGCACACCAACUUUGAGAUUUUUCAUACAGGUUAUUAAUAGGACUGUCAAAGUAUGUCUGGCAUCUCAUACACCAGGACUGUGGAGAUGGAAAUGCAAAUUUUACCCCCCCCCCCCCCCUUUUUUCCUCCCCUAGAUGCAUGUUAGCCAUGUGAUCUGUCUGUUCUCACUGGCUCAAGAACAAAAGUCAUCAGUCCAAACAACGGUGAUCUAGUGAGUGAAAAUAUGAUUUGCAAACUUAACAGAUGGUAAAUUAUGACUCUAUUAGUGAGCAGAGAGCUGUGUUUUGUGGGUAAUGAGAUCAGUCUCACUCGACAACCCAUAAAUCCAUGCUUUGAUUAGCACAUCUGCUAUUAUGAAAGAGGCGUUUAUUCAAAGAACAAAACCAGCAGUCGCUUUUCUGUAUUGCUGAAUGGUUCUUGCUUAUUAUGGUGGCAUGGCAUAAACCAACUCGUACGUAUAAAGUUAAGGUGAGUGCGCAUAGCGGGGGUGUGUGUGUGUGUGUGUGUGUGUGUGUGUGUAUAUAAAAGGCUUCCUCAAGUGUUCUUUGGGCGGUUAAGUGAUUGGGUUGCUCUAUUCACUGAUUAUUGGUAUUAAAGAAUAUUGUUGGAAUACAGUGGAAAUGAAGUCAAACUCGAAAUCAAAUAAUCACUCCAGCUUUUUCAGUUUCGAGUCCUACAAAAAUUGCAUGAGAUCGAAUUGAAUUUCAACACUAGUGCCCUCUCCACCUGUGUACAUAUAAGAAAUACAACCAUUACAAAAAAUUGUGUGCUUGCUCUCAACUUAUAAUGAAACUAGAUGAUGUGUUAAUGGCAUAUACUGCUUGGUUGGUUUUGACCACAUUUAGAGGGUGUUUAGGAGCUGUGUGUUUGAGCGUAGGUUUUUGUGGUCAUCUCUGGACUGUACAGCACUGUAGUGCUACAGCAAGGCCUGCGUCAUACAUGGGGAAAGCCCAUCAUUCUGGGCUGAACCCAUCACCGCCACUCCUCCUCCUCAUCAUUUCUCUCACUAACAUUUUCAUCUUUCCUGAGAUUUUUUCCAUCUCAUUCUGUUCAGUUCUUGGCCGCACAUUAAGUGAGCACUCGGCACCUAAUCAUGUCUAGCUACACAUCCUUGUGUUCAACCACUCAAUUAAGUUUUCCUCUUGGGCCAAAGGACUCAAUAAAUAAUGCCAUGCCCCUGCCUCAUCGUCAAUCAUUGGCAAUUCUAGACUCUUUUUAAAAAAAAAAAAUUCUUUACGGUGGCCCUAUACUUCUAUACUUCCUUUCUGCCCCUUGGUCACUCUUUCCUAAAUCGAUUAAAUUCCUUCUAAACAUGAGAAAAGUGGUAGUGCAGCAGUAAACAAUCUGCAAACUGUCCCCUGGCUCCUCCCCUUCAUUUUUGAUGUCUUUGUUUGAAACAGAACACAGCCCUGUGACGCUUUCCUUGCUGUCUCUGUCUGAACUAGGAGGGUUACCAGGUUUGGGCUGAGUUGACAAGUAGUCAUCGGUAGCCAAAAAAAAGUUCCUUUUGUCACCGGAAAUCUCUUAUUGAAGACACGUUCAAUGAAAAUGUACUAUUUUUAAAAUAUAAAUCCUGCCUCAAAACACAUCUGACUCUGGAGACUAGCGUCUUGUCAUGACUUGUGUGAUCAAAUUCUACUCAUUCAUAUGUUUCAGUAUGCUUGAGUUUGAACUCGAACAAAAUUCAGUUCAGAUCGGCACAGCUGUUCAGUAUCGUAUGUAGCGACGUGCACGUGUGGAGGAAGAACGUGUCCUAUCGGACAUGAGGCUUGCUCUCUCUUUAAAUUUAAACUUCUUUCAUUGACAUGUUGGUGUUUUCACUUUGGUCAGCGAUAUGUCCUACAUUACCCAUAAUGCCAUUCGACUACCUGGUGUUAUUGGUGCCAGUGGGAGUUCUUCUCUCAAUGGUGCCAAUGGGAAUUCAAGAGUUGCAGCAGUGCUUUACUCCUUUGGUCUUCCUAGUUCUCUCACCUCCACGUCCAUACGGUCUGCUCAAACAGAUCAGAUUCCAAAGCUUCUAAUACGGCUGUUAAUGCCAUCAUGCGCGCCAGCUCAUAGAUCGCUAAUUACCCGAGCCAAGUCUCUGCCGUAACGGUGCGACUGUAUAGUGAAGAAAAUGACGAAUGAGAAGACGCUAAGCUUCUUGCUCUUUUGUUUUUAGGCGCUAACAGAGAAAUCUGGUUAUCCCCCCUUCUGUUAAACACGAUUGUAAAUGCGCUAACGACGUCUCGCUAACUUCUCACAGGAAUAACGGAAAUACAGCACCGACCAACAAAUUAGAGCCAAGAUCGCUAAACACAUCACAGAUAUUUCAUUAGAGACGUAUUCAGUGCGUCUAUGGGUGGACAUUUUCUUUAAGCCGUUCACUGUAGUGGGUCUUUCUGGCAGCCAUGAGAUUUGAACUCUCAAAAAGAAAACAAACAAGCUAACCGAAAGAAGGUUGGUCAAGGGGGCCAAGCAUUCUUCAGGCAUAAACACAGUCCCAUAGAGUUAUUUUGUGGGUAUGACAUCUGUUGUUGUUCUUGUUGUGUGUGGGUGUCAAGGAGGUGAAAUGAGGCAGAGUGACUCUUGGGUGGUUCUAAUCAGUCUCCAGCUGUGUUUGUGCUGUCAGCUCAAUGUGAAGCUGCUUCACCGAUCUGCACUCAUCCAUACGGGAGGUUAAUUGGAGGACUUAACAUGUGUAGAGCACCAAUCACAAUACAUAUGCGUUGAGCUGCUAGACUCGACUGCUUCGUUAUAGUAAUAUUGAUGGUAAUUUCUUUGGUUGCAAUUGAAGUCGGUUGUUCAGUCAGUUCAGAUCAGGCUCUCCACUUUAACUAGUGCUUAGGUAGCAACCUUUUAUUUGAAGCUGUCGAACAUCUGGGAUAUGCAACGCACAGCUUGAUGACAAAUGAGAAGAAAAUUCAAGAUGGUCUGGACUUAUGUAGCACCUUUAUCCAAAGAUAGGUUGUUGGGCCACCAUGAGCCACUAGAAGAGCUUGAGUGUAGCUUGGCAUAGCUUCUAAAAGUCUGUGAAACUGUGUUUGAGCUGUAUUAACAACAUUCUUCCAAAAGAUAUUCCUUUAACUGGUGUAUUGAUGCUGAUCGAUCGUGCUGUCUAACACAUCUCUCCAGAUGCGUUCAGUUGGGUCGAGAUCUAGUGAAUGUGGUCAAAAAUGCUCGAUUUUGAUGCGUUUUUUUUCUUCUAAAUUUGCGAUGCAAUUUGCAGAGUUUUUUGUGCUUUUUUUUUUUUGCUGUUGCAGAAAACCAUUUGAAUUGGUGAAAUUUCAAUCGCAGGAAAUUGUUUUGCAGGGUCUUUCGCAGUACUGUUUGUCGGUAAAUAUUUGUUUCUGCGAUCGCGAAAAUCCUGGAGGGACUGAUGAGAAGUUCAAAGACUAAGCCUAGUGGAAAGUCAGAACUGAGCUGGAAAGCUGCAAAGUUUUGGGAAAUUAACAUUUUUAAGCUUUACUUUGGCUGGCUGGCGUGCCAAGGGUACAAACCUAAAUAAAACGCUCACGUGCGCUCACCCUGGAUCUACUGCAUUCUCUGAGCUCCAUACCACCAAUAUAGUUACACCAUCUAGUCCUAGGAAACCAAAGAAGGCAUAUCGAUUUGGAGUCGCUUUAGGAAUCGUCGUCGGAUUCCAGGCUUGAUGAUGUAUGUUUCUGGUGGGUAUUCUGCAAAUAUCAGAAUUGGUCAAAUUUGAUCCAAAUACUGCAUGCACUCUUAAAUGAAAUUCUGAACAACAAACGAUAUUGAUAGCCAACAGUGACGCGCUAAUGAAAGUCGAUGCACCUCGUUCACGCCACGCUUCCCUUCCCCUUCAGUGAACUGGCUUUUCCACUGGGUGUAUUUUAUUUGACUUUUGCUCUGACUGUUGUACAGAAAGAUGCAGACCUUACUAUUAAAUCUCUCUAGCGUUUAGGACGUAUUUGAUGAAACUAUAACCAUAACUACUUUCUCUUUUACCCAAACAGUUUCAGUUGAUUAAUAAAUAUCUUGAUGACAGAUGUACUGGAAGGUCCAGAAUGUUUUGUACUGUCCUACUUUGAUGAUUAUCAUGACUCACCAUGCUGUGGUGAAGGUUCUUUUAUGUUUUAUCAGCAUGUGGGAUAAAACCCAGAAACUAUGACGUGGCUUUUUAAAUGUAUACUUUCUCUUGUUUUGAUGGACAAACAUAAUCAUUUUGCAUGACAUCUGUAUUGAUGUCCAAAGCUAGUGUCGGUUUGAUGUUCUUUCAUGGACCACAGACUCCCAAAGCUGCCCUAUAGCAUUUCAGAAACCUGUGUGUGUGUUUGAUCACAUGCAUGCAGGUGCUCCUGCCCCCAGCUAGGAAACUUCAGGAGCUUCAGCAAAUGAAAACAUCCACACCUGAGGGCCUGGAGCACACCGGUGAGAGGGAAAUGUCUUCCAGCUCCAAACCAAAGCCACAAAGUCAGGGAAAAAGAGCUUUAAACCCCAAAGCACCUUUAUGUGCUGGUUUACAUUUUUAGAUGACAGGGGCUUCUGAUCUGUCCGUCUAUCGCAGUCUGCUAUUCCACACAAUCGGAACUAAAUACAACAGUGAAAAUCAAGAUUGUUCCUGCACAUAAUGGUGUACUCAAUAGAGUUAGCGCGACUGUCUGUGGUUGCGUUGGCUUGCUUGUUUAGCUUUCACUAUGAAGAUUAACUUUCACUCACUACACUAGCUUUCACUAACUAGAUUAGCUUUCACUCACUAAGUUAGCUUUCAGUUGGUAGUAAGCUUUAACUCACUAGAUUAGCUUUCACUCACAGAUCAUUUUCUACUUGCUAGUUUAGCUUUCAGUUGAUGGCUUUCAUUCAGGAGAUUAGCUUUCACUAUGAAGAUUAGCUUUCACUAUGAAAAUUAGUUUUCACUCACUAAGUUAGCUUUCAGUUCUGUGGGUGAUGGGUAAAAGUCAGGAUUACAAACGUGUCCCUGUAUUACUUAAGGCCAGUUCUAUUUGUCAUGUGUAAAACAGACAGCAGUAGUGCGUGUGUGUGAAGAACAAGUCGAGAUGAGCUAAUUCAUAGAUGACACUGCAUGCAGGACCACAUGUGGCUGUGAUCAGAGUGUAAAUUGUUGGAAGGAAGGAUGACCCCAGAAUUUCGUCUUGUUUUCUCCGUUCGGUUACUAAACAUUUGUGUUAGAGUGUCGGAAAAUGAGCAAGCGAAAGUUUACUAACCUCUGUGUUUAAUUACGGAAAUAUUUAGCUCUCAUAAUGAUUCAGUAAAUACGUUAAAUGCAAAUACGUUAAACAUGAAAUAUGACCACAUAAUUGUACACUUCAGGGAACAUUUACGUUGUUUGUAUUGGGGGGGAUACCUGUACAGUACCUUAUUUUUAUUUUAUUUUUUUUCCCUCCUUUCUCUUUUCUUCUCUGAGACCAUACAAAGACCAAAGAAAUUCAUCCCAUUUCUCUCUCUCUCUCUUUUAAAAAGUGUUAAACCCCUUCUCAUAUAGCAGAUGGCUGUAAGUCAGGCUCACAUAGACCCCACCAGUGUGGUCAGAGUGGGAACAUUCAGCCAUCAAAAACGGAUUAACGUUAAUUAGGUGACUUUUUUACGAUGGCAACGGGUGGAAUUUGACUCGGACGGACGUUUCACGCGCUCCUACGGAGCCGCGGCUCUCUCAGCUAAUAAACGUGAGCUCUCCUUGGGUCAAAACGUCCUUGGAUCGAAACAGUCCAAGCUGAAUUCAGGGUUUCCGAGUCUGGCUAGGAGACCUUGAUGCUGUAUCGGCUUUGACGUUUUUACGCUCGCCCUUAAAACUCAGCCUGUCGAGGCUAAAUGGGGGCCUUUCAGACUGACUGCUGAACCUAAUUCUAUUUUUCCUCCUCAAUCAUGACGCUGCACAUCUAUAUGCUUAAAAAUACACCAGAGCCUCAUGAAAUGGCUGAGUGUAUAAAGAAGACAAACACAUAAAUAAGGAGAUAAGCGUCAUAGCUGGUGUGUAAUUUAUGGGCAGUUCAACAGGAGGCAAAAUGUAAUGAAAGAGUGUUCAGACUUUCUUUCUUUUUUUUUCUUCUUCUUUUUUUCCUUCUUCAAACUAAUGGCACUUCGAAGAGAAAAUCGUGGUAAUUUGUUUUUUUUCUUUUUCAGUUCAACUAGUUUGUGCAUUUAAAUACAUGUGCUUUUAUACCCUGUUGAAUUCUUAAUUGGGUUGGGAAUUGUGAAUUCUGAUGGGUGAGAUGGAUAGUGUUGAUGAAUUUCUAUAACAGCCACUCUGACGGCAGUUCUGGCUGUUCACAGGUUUAUAUUAAUGCACCCUUUCCACGCAAGGACGUACAACACUACACGUAGUCUAAGCCUAAUAAUAACUGGAUUUUAAAGAAUGUGUUGUUGAACAAAUAAGUGUAUAAUUGUUGGUAUGGUAAAGCUUGUUGUAAAGAGUCAUUUAUUUAGGGAGUCUCCUGUGUCAGUGAUUUGGAUCAAUCAGUACCUUUUCCUCCAUUGGGAGAAUCUUCAGGACAGAGGAUUUCUGGCUGUAACAUGGUAUUCCUGUGAAAUAAGAGGAAUAAUACACAUCAGGCUUGUGAAAUAUUUUCCUAAAACUUGGUUUAUGCUUUACUUGGCAAGUUCUUAUUGUGUAAUUGUGAUACAUCAAGGAUAUGUUUGCUUUCAUAGUCAAUUUAUCGUUAAUUAUCCCAUGAAAAGAGAUUUUAUUCCUCUAAUUUUUCUGUACAGAUUAAGAGUGAAAAAUUGUUUUUGCUUCUUCAGGUCUGAGUGAUAUUUUUCAAUUUUACAAAUUGGAAAUGUAAAAUGCAAAUAGUUUUUGUUUGUCCUGUUGUAUUGUGUUUAGGUACCAAAAUAAUGUGGUUUUUGGCAACCCAAGGGUAAACACCAAAGUGUAGGAUGUUUUUUUUUUUUUUUUUUUUUUUCUUUUUCCCCUCUGUGUGCAAUAAGUACAAUUUUUUAUUUUU